UACGAAGGGGGCUAGCGUUGCUCGGAAUCACUGGGCGUAAAGCGCACGUAGGCGGCUUUCUAAGUCAGGGGUGAAAUCCUGGAGCUCAACUCCAGAACUGCCUUUGAUACUGAGGAUCUUGAGUUCGGGAGAGGUGAGUGGAACUGCGAGUGUAGAGGUGAAAUUCGUAGAUAUUCGCAAGAACACCAGUGGCGAAGGCGGCUCACUGGCCCGGUACUGACGCUGAGGUGCGAAAGCGUGGGGAGCAAACAGG
rnacentral:rRNA from 1 species